UGCGUAGGCGGCGUCAUAAGUCAGGGGUGAAAUCCAUGGGCUCAACCCGUGAACUGCAUCUAAAACUGGUUCUCUUGAGUUCGGGAGAGGAGAGCGGAAUUCCCGGUGUAGCGGUGAAAUGCGUAGAUAUCGGGAAGAACACCAGUGGCGAAGGCGGCUCUCUGGCCUAGAACUGACGCUGAAGCGCGAAAGCGUGGGGAGCGAACAGGAUUAGAUACCCUGGUAGUCC
rnacentral:rRNA from 1 species